rnacentral:rRNA from 1 species
GACGAACGCUGGCGGCGUGCUUAACACAUGCAAGUCGAACGAAGUGGCGAACGGGUGAGUAACGCGUAAUCAACCUGCCCUUCAGAGGGGGACAACAGUUGGAAACGACUGCUAAUACCGCAUACUGAAGGAGGGGAUUGCGUCUGAUUAGCUAGUUGGAGGGGUAACGGCCCACCAAGGCGAUGAUCAGUAGGCGGUUUGAGAGGAUGAACGGCCAAAUUGGGACUGAGACACGGCCCAGACCCCUACGGGAGGCAGCAGUGGGGAAACAUCGGCAAUGGAGGAAAGUCUGAAGGAGGAAAGCCGGGGGAGUGAUGACGGCCUUCGGGGUGUAAAGCUAUGUUAAUCGGGACGCGGUACCGGAAGAGAAAGCAACGGCUAACUACGUGCCAGCAGCCGCGGUAAUUC